rnacentral:rRNA from 1 species
AGUGAACGCUGGCGGUAGGCCUAACACAUGCAAGUCGAACGGCAGCACAGUAAGAGCUUGCUCUUACGGGUGGCGAGUGGCGGACGGGUGAGGAAUACAUCGGAAUCUACUUUUUCGUGGGGGAUAACGUAGGGAAACUUACGCUAAUACCGCAUACGACCUACGGGUGAAAGCAGGGGAUCUUCGGACCUUGCGCGAUUGAAUGAGCCGAUGUCGGAUUAGCUAGUUGGCGGGGUAAAGGCCCACCAAGGCGACGAUCCGUAGCUGGUCUGAGAGGAUGAUCAGCCACACUGGAACUGAGACACGGUCCAGACUCCUACGGGAGGCAGCAGUGGGGAAUAUUGGACAAUGAGCGCAAGCCUGAUCCAGCCAUACCGCGUGGGUGAAGAAGGCCUUCGGGUUGUAAAGCCCUCUUGUUGGGAAAGAAAAGCAGCAGGUUAAUACCCCGCUGUUCUGACGGUACCCAAAGAAUAAGCACCGGCUAACUUCGUG